rnacentral:lncRNA from 1 species
UCCGCAAUUUUUCUUAAACCAAGAAAAUUAUGUAAAAGUAAAAAAAGGAAAAAUUAACGAAGAAUAUAGGAUUGGUAAUUCAGAUUGAAGAUUGUCUAAAAUUUAGAUUACUCAACUUUAUGUGCAUAAAUUUUGAACAAGUCCUCCCAUUACGUGUUAAUUUAACGAUGCAUUAAUAAUGAGAUUUUAACGUAUCAGCUCGCCCAUCUGCACUUCUGAAAACAGGUAGUACAAGCUUAUGAUUUUACAGAAGUGAAGCUUGUUUAUAUGCAGAAUUGCAGCCCCAAAACAAACUAACAAACUUCUGCUAAUACAUAGACUGUAAUAGUACUAAACCAAAAGUUCUCAAAAUUAAAACAAUCUUCUUAUAUCAAUAUCCGAUUAUAAACUUCAGUUAAGCUACAUUUGGAUAAAACUUAGCUAUUAAAUCACAGAACUUAAGCAUCAACCACAACCCUUCUACGGCUGUUUCCUCUCGACAAGUCCUCACUGAAACCAACUUCCAUAUUCAACCGCGAUGACGAAGAGCUCCUAAACCUGCCAAAAAAUGACAGAACACUGCGAAAUGCAUGCCUAAUUCCACCCCUCCUCGUUCCACUUCUUGACCAAUUUCUGCUUGUUGAACUGCUGCCAUCAACAUCAUCCUCAUCAUCCAUUUCAUCAUCGGCACCAGGCACCUCACCCUCCCUUAGUCCCCUGCCACCAUUAAACCGUCCAAUGGCAUAUCCGCCACGUGGCAAUCUCCAAAUGAUAAGUCCCAUCGGUUCUUCAUCAUUGUCAGCUUCCAAUCCCUCCAUUUCUGCCACGUCAGGCGCCAACUCAUAACGACAAACUGGACAGGAAUUUCGUAUUUCAAGCCAAGGCAAAAUACAAUCCGAAUGAUACAAAUGCUUGCAGGGCAAUUCACGAGCCAAUGCAUUGGCCUCAAAGGCCUCUGUACAAACAGCACAAUGCGCGUCACUAAUAAUGUGGCCUAAAUUAAUUUUAACAGCAGGCAAUGCAUCCACCGCAGCCUUAGCAGCCGGAGGCUGAGUAACUGUCAUCGUAUCAGAACGUAUAAAAUGUUCAAGAACCCGAUCAAAGCCCGGCCCCAUCACCAACUCUGACAUGCCUGGCAGCAACGGCCUUAGCCCCUGACCAGAACAAUCAUCGUAUAACAACUCAUAACUCCCCGUAUCUUCAAUUCUUCGUAGCACGAUAAACAGAUUGUAAUGUGGCUCGAAUGUUGCAGCAUUGUCACGUAUCGUCUCAACGAAGCCUGCACCGCAAUCAAGACAAACAACAGACUGUCCCUCGUGAACUCGAACGUAAGAGUUGCAUCCGUGACACCAAUGUGAUGGCUCAGUGGACUCCAUAGCACAAUCAAAAUAAUGUUUAUUCAAAAGAAAGCUCAAUGCUAAGGUGUUAAGAGAAUGAAUGUUAAAUAGAGAAGGGGUCUUGAAGAAAGCGUGUGGGAGAAAUGGUCAGCCAAGUUUGAAGUUUGUGUUAACAAGAUUGUGAGACUUGUGUUUGAUUAUUAUAUGUUUAUGGUCUUAAUCACACAUGAUCAACAGUAUAAGACUAAAUAGUAGUAGUUUAUGUAGGUCCGUGAUUGUGUGCUGGGGCUCACAGAAAGUGUAUAGAUUUUACUGGGCUAGCCUGAACUUUGUCAUUUAACGCGUUCACUGUUAUUGAAGCUAUAUUGUUAAGUCGUUGUUAACAGUCAACCAACAUCCAGAUGUCGAAUUUAAUUGACCAUCCUUGUACAGUUGUACUAGAUACUUAAAAUAUUUUCGUUUUCUUUCUAGUUACAUGAAUUCUAAAGGAUGGGAUAUUAUUCUUUGACGACAUUAAAUUUACAAGAUAUUCUCUUACUUUAAUUUCGUAGGUCCGAAAAUGAAAGGAGAUGUUAAGUUUUUUAAUUUAAUCAGAUAUUUUAUACUGAGCAUAUAUAGUUCUUAUGUAAACUAGUGAUCUUUGCCCGUGCUUCGCACACUCCAAUGUUUUUUUAUUUUUUGUUCUGAAAAUCAUAUUCAAAUUUUAUUGAAAUCUUCGUUAAGUUGGACGCAUUUAUUUUUUGUUUGACUACUAUUUUUCUUUGUAUUUCUGCAUUGACACCAUAUCAACUAUGAAAUAUAAUUUAUCCAACAUUAAUCGAAUAAAAAUAAAUAUGUAAAUGAAAGGUAGACUUAUAAUUCAGAAUUAGAAAGCAAAGCAAUCCUUGAAAGUAAUACGAUUUCAUGUGUCUGAAUGAAAAACACACCACUACUAAAAUAUGCAGAACAACACUGAAUUUAAUAGAAAAGGAAAAAACAGUAUGAAAUGAAAAAUAAAAUAAAACGGUGAAGAAGAACAUUUCCGGCUAUGCAUAACAUAAACAGAUUGCUCGAUUCUCCGGUAUUUCCGCUACGAUUACUUCUCCUGUUUUGAUAGAAAUUUGAUGUUAGAGUCAAACAAAAUUAUUAUAUGUAAAAUGGUCAUAUAGUUGUUGUGAGAUCUUACCAAUUUAACCUUUUUAGAAGUUGAUUUGGAUGUUACAGGGGUAUCACCACUCUCGGAAAGAUUAACAACUGAGCUCUGUAAAAUAUAAGUAAUUACAUAUUGCAUAUGCAUGAAUAAGUCUAUAAUUAAGUAGUUUGUAAUGAAAAGAUAGUGCAAGGGGUUGCUCACAUCUCCAACAGCAGAAGUUGUACACUGUGUAUCUGUUGAUGAGGAGAUCAUGGAGCCAGAAUUGCUUGCAUAACAUGCAUCAACAACAAAAUAUAGUCUGCUCUUGGAGGCUAUAUUAUCUUCCUUAAUAACUAUUUUGAGCUUAAGCUCCUUUCCAGUAAUUGAUCUAAUCUGCGGAGGAAAUUCAUUUGUUGUGUGAUCCUACAGAAAAUGGCAUAGCGAGUUAAUCCUGGGAAGUGUAAUGAUACAUGCAUGUAUUCAGUGAGUGUGUUCAUUCAAGUACUCUCACCUUAAACUUAUCAGAAAUGAGUUUAGUUGCCGUUGUCCCGAUCAUCCUCUUGGCCGCACGAUCAAGCAAAACAAAAUUGUAUGCCUCAGUAGAAUCUUCACCAAGAAUUACGAUCCUGUACCUGAUGGAUUGAGAAGCAAUAUUGGAGUUUAGCUGUUGUAAUAGUUGAAGACCAGUAUCGGCUCAACACUAAAGUUAAUUAAGUGGUUGCUUAGGGCCAAGACCCCAAAAUUUAUAAAAUUAUAUAUAUGUAUAUGUAUAUAGUUAAGUAAUAAUAAUUAGAUUUUAAUUUGUAAGUAUGGAAAAAACAAAAUAUAUAAAAUAAAUAUGAAUUAUUGUGCUUUUAAAAGAAUAUAAGGGUCCUACUCUGGUACAAACCUUCUUAGCGUACAAACUACAAACCAAAAUUAAAAAGUCUCUAAAUCAAAUCGGAAUAUAGCACAUAUGGUAUGGAAAUUGAUCGUUGCGAGAUGAACAAAAAUACAGUGAAGUCGGAUUUCAAAAAAAGUUCACCGAUUGACGGGAAAAUUCAAAUUAAAAACGGAGGGGAUUCUGCUAUGUAUAUAUAAUGAAAUUUUAAUGAAUAUAAAGAAGAUUAACUUGAAAAAUGAGAAUUAGAUAAAUCAAAUGAUUUUAAUUUUUUUUAGUUAUAUGUGUAUUAAGUACUUACUAAAUGGAAUAAAAUUUACAGUUUAAAUAUAAAAUAUUUAUUUUUAUUUUUCAUAAAUUUUAUGUUAUUAUAAAUUAUGUGAUUUAACUUUUUUGUGCUAUAGUACUUUUAAAUAUUUAAUUAAUUUAAAUGCUACAUUAAUAUAUAAAUUAGCGUAAUUAUAAAUAAAAAGCAUAAUAUAUAAAAUGCUGUAUAAAUUUUUAAAAAAUAUAAAUAUAAUUCAUUAUCAUUUUUCCAUAAAUAAUGUUUAUGCAUAAUUAUUUUAUAAUAAUGUAAAAUACACACUAAUUUAAAUCUAAGGAGAUAAGUAUACAUGAUAAUCAAUAAUAUACUAAUUUGGAUAUCAAACAAAAUAAAAAUAUUUUUGAUAUCCAAACUCACUUAAGGCCUCAAAUUUAGUUGAGACUCAAGACUUAGAGCUGAUCAAGCUAUGUUAACUUACCUUUUUUCAGCAACAGGAAUGUUCUUCUUGCAAUUGUCACAGUAUAGCUUUCCUUCAAGAUUCUGCACCUCAUUUUCACAACCUCCGCAGCUAUCAUACCACCAGCGAUUUUCCUCUACCCUUACAACUUUGAUGUUGCAGUAAACAUUUUUCUACAUGAUUUUAAUAAAGAAAAUGAGCAAGAUCCUCUUGACAAUAUACAUAUCUUUUUUUUUUUUAUAUUUGCAGGGAAGUGAAGAAUAUCAACCUUUAUGUAAUCAGCUGCAGCUAGUUCAGCUACCUGCUUUAAAUUCAGUGUCUGCACGGCCUCACUUACAUGCCGUUGAGAAAAUCUUUGGCCAUCAUUUUCACGUGGAGUAUAGCCUUCCUCAAUGAGCCUAAAAAAUAUAUUAAGCAUGAUUUUACAAAUUCUAGGAUCUGCAUAAUAAACACUGCACCACAAUAUGAUACCUCUGUCGCAUUGCAAUAACAGCAUCAAUAUCAAGGUUCAUGUAAGCCUUUGAAGAAGACGUUGUACUUAACUGGACAGAAUCUGAUUUGAAGCAUAAUUUCAAAUUACAUACACAUGAGACUGAAAUCAUACAAAACAUGAAUAUGAUACAAACAUUAUUCUUGCCACAUCCUUUUAAUACUUACUUCUGUGUGUGUUCAUCUUUGUACCAGUGAGUAUUACAAUGAUGGGUGUCUCAACUGCUUUUUUCCUUUCAUCAUCUAUUCUCUCUGCAAGGUCCCCCCAUGCAGUAGCCUUGUGUGAAUACCUGCAUAUUAUAUUUUUAAAUAACUAAGUUGUGUGAAGAAGAAAAGAUAUAAACUCAUAAAGCCAAACCACAUAUAAUAAAGUCUAGAACCAACCUUCCAUCAGUUAUCCUGAAACGAAUUAUACUCCUUGGUCCAUUAACAGUAUCGAUCCGAUCAAGAUUUUCACAAUUCUCAAAUACUCCCAUAACAUCUGAUUCACAUUUGUAUCACACAACAUGUCAUUUAACCUAAGUAUGCAAUAUAUUUUAUAAUGUUCAAUAACAUAAUAAUAGAUACAAUAAUAUAUGCAUAUAGAAUACAUCAAUAAUACAGUAAUACGAUAUACAAUAUAAAAUAAUAAAGAAUACAAUGUAAAUAAUAAAGAAUAAGAUAGAUGUCACCUGUGGAGAAUUCGCGAGUCUUUUGAUCACCGUACGAUUCUGCAAGCUUGAACAGAUCUCCCAAAUCAACAAAUUCAAACUUAUGCAUGGGUAUCAUAAAGUCAUCAGUGUCAACUUUCUCAACAAUAGUAGAGUUUGAAAAAUUAAUGAGGAUCUUGCUUGACACGGGCCUAAACGAACCAAAUAUAGUUAACUAAAUACUUGGCCGAUAAUAUGUAGAUUAAGUGGUUAACUAAAAUAAAACGAUGUAAAAAUAUUUAAUUUUAGUUUUAUUAUCAUAUAACGCACCAAAAAAUGAAAAUUGAACAUUUUAAAAUUAUUCAAAGCAAAAGUUAAAUAACCAUAAAUAUCAAUAAAUUAUCCAAAGCAAAAGUCGGGAAUAUAUACUUGGUUAUACGGUAAUAUUUAAUCAUAAUAAUAAAAAAACAACUAAUAUUACAUUUUUUUACAGGUUUCUAAAACGAAUAAUAAAGAAGAUAAGGUUUAAUAAAAAUAAUAAGUUACGCAACAAUAAAUUUUUUCAUAUAAUAUAUAAUUUAAAUAUCUACAUAUCGUAGUAUCAAGUGUUUUAAAAUGUUUCUAAUUAUAAAAUGUUCCCGGUUAGUUGUCAUUCUACUAUUCAGAAAAACUAUUAUUUUAAUUUAAUUAGUUUCUAACAUGACAGUGGAUCAAGUAAAAUCAAUAAAUAUAAUAAGAGACUCCUUUGAAGUAAAAUCAAUAACUAUUUUUAAGUAAAAAUAAGAAUGAAAUAAGACAAACCUGAUUUAUUUAAGUAUAAAUAAAUUAUGUAAAUUUUUUCUGGUCAUUUUCAACAAUAAUACAUGUUAAGAAAAAAAAAUGUAGACACUUUUUUUUAUUUAAAAAUAAAAAACUUGUAUAUGCAUCGAAUGUGUUUUUUAGUAAGAAAAGGUUUGUGAAAACACGACAAAAGUUUAAAAUAAGUAUAAAUAUUAGAAUAAUCCAAAUAUAACUAUUUUUAAGUAAAAAUAAGAAUGAAAUAAGACAAACCUGAUUUAUUUAAGUAUAAAUAAAUUAUGUAAAUUUUUUCUGGUCAUUUUCAACAAUAAUACAUGUUAAGAAAAAAAAAUGUAGACACUUUUUUUUAUUUAAAAAUAGAAAACUUGUAUAUGCAUCGAAUGUGUUUUUUAGUAAGAAAAGGUUUGUGAAAACACGACAAAAGUUUAAAAUAAGUAUAAAUAUUAGAAUAAUCCAAAUAUAACUAUUUUUAAGUAAAAAUAAGAAUAAAAUAAGACAAACCUGAUUUAUUUAAGUAUAAAUAAAUUAUGUAAAUUUUUUCUGGUCAUUUUCAACAAUAAUACAUGUUAAGAAAAAAAAUGUAGACACUUAUUUUUAUUUAAAAAUAGAAAACUUGUAUAUGCAUCGAAUGUGUUUUUUAGUAAGAAAAGGUUUGUGAAAACACGACAAAAGUUUAAAAUAAGUAUAAAUAUUAGAAUAAUCCAAAUAUAACUAUUUUUAAGUAAAAAUAAGAAUGAAAUAAGACAAACCUGAUUUAUUUAAGUAUAAAUAAAUUAUGUAAAUUUUUUCUGGUCAUUUUCAACAAUAAUAUAUGUUAAGAAAAAAAAAAAUGUAGACACUUUUUUUUAUUUAAAAAUAGAAAACUUGUAUAUGCAUCGAAUGUGUUUUUUAGUAAGAAAAGGUUUGUGAAAACACGACAAAAGUUUAAAAUAAGUAUAAAUAUUAGAAUAAUCCAAAUAUAACUAUUUUUAAGUAAAAAUAAGAAUGAAAUAAGACAAACCUUUUAUUUAAGUAUAAAUAAAUUAUGUAAAUUUUUUCUGGUCAUUUUCAACAAUAAUAUAUGUUAAGAAAAAAAAAAAUGUAGACACUUUUUUUUAUUUAAAAAUAGAAAACUUGUAUAUGCAUCGAAUGUGUUUUUUAGUAAGAAAAAGUUUGUGAAAACACGACAAAAGUUUAAAAUAAGUAUAAAUAUAACUAUUUUAAGUAAAAAUAAUGUCUUCAAAGAUUUCAAAUCCUCUUUCAUUUAAAAGAUGAAUCCUCUUUCAUUUAAAAGAUGAAUUAGUGACAGUACAAAUAAAAAUUCAGUUGAAGCGUGAGAAUGGGUCAGACCCGGAUAUAGAUGAUGGGGCUCCAUCUUUUGGUGAAAAGACCAUAAUGUACAGGGGAAAUAAUGCAUGUGAAGGAGGUUGAGGGUCAGUUAGAGUAAUUUGAUAAAAGCCAAUGCUAGUAAGCUUUAAGAAUAUAUUGAAUAUAUUGAUGUAUCGAAUGUGUUUUUUAGUAAGAAAAAGUUUGUGAAAACACGACAAAAGUUUAAAAUAAGUAUAAAUAUAACUAUUUUAAGUAAAAAUAAUGUCUUCAAAGAUUUCAAAUCCUCUUUCAUUUAAAAGAUGAAUUAGUGACGGUACAAAUAAAAAUUCAGUUGAAGCGUGAGAAUGGGUCAGACCCGGAUAUAGAUGAUGGCUCCAUCUUUUGGUGAAAAGACCAUAAUGUACAGGGGAAAAAAUGCACGUGAAGGAGGUUGAGGGUCAGUUAGAGUAAUUAGAUAAAAGCCAAUGCUAGUAAGCUUUAAGAAUAUAUUGAUAAUUAACAGCAAGCUGUCUAUGUCAGUAUAAAUAUUCCGUAACAUUAAAAAUCGGUCAUAUUAGCCAUAACACCUAUUCACCCCCUCUAGGUGGCUUAACACCUUAAAAUACGUGUAAAAAAGUCAAAAGCAGUUAAAAUGAGACGGAGGGAGUAUAAUUUUUUUGGUGAGAAAGUUAGUUAGGGGUCGUUUGGUUGAGGGGUAUCUGGAAUUAGGUAUGAGUUUCGUGCAUUCUAAACCCAUGCAUGUGUUUGGUUGUAAGAAAACAAAUUUUGAAACCCAUUCCUCAAACCCACAAGUAUGAAUUUUGAUACCCAAGAGAUGAGGUGGGUGUGAAAUGGGGGUAUGGGUAUCAAUUUUAUAUUUUAUUUUUUUUUGUCUCUAUUUAAACAAUUAAAUAUUAAUAUUUAAUAUAAAAAUAAUCAACAAUGCAAAAAUACAUAACAAUAAUAAUUUUAUUAAAAUUUUAAUUAAUAUAAAUAAUUAAUAUAAUUAUUUUUAAAAAAGUUAAAUAUAUUGAUUCCAGCAAUUAACCAAACACAUGAUAUCAGAUAUGAUGCCUUAAACCCAUACCACUUUAACCCGAUUUCUCAUUUCAAACCCAUAUCACUCUGCGAACCAAACGACCCCUUAAAUAGUUAGAUGAUUUUUCCAUUCUACUACAUACUUACACAUUUCUCUACGCUCUCUUUGGAAUCUCUUCUCUAUCAAUGUAAACUCUGAUUAGCUUUAAUGGAAGAUACGAGCUUCUGCAUCUCUCUCUGAACUUGUUUGCAUGGUAUCAGAGCGAUGUUGCUUAAAUUAAUAUAUUAAUAAAAAAAUUAUAUAUUUUAAUGACUUGAUUGUGAGAUUUUUAGGUUAGAUGACCUCACUCUAAGCAACUUGAAUGAUAUUUUUUAAAUAAAGAGCCAUUUCAAGAUUUCACGUAAUAUUUUUGUUCAAUUUUUAAUGGUUUUAUAACGAUAAAAAUCUGUCUGAAAAUUUCAAAUAAUUUAGUGAUUUGAUGGCAAAAUUUUCAGAUUCGAUGACCUACUCGCAAGUUAGAGUUGAAUUGAGUGAUAAUUUAUCAUUUAAGCCUUUCUCAAAAUAUUACAUUUGAACGUGCUUAAAAAUAUUUAUCUAUAAUUUAUUUUUCUUUUCUAUCAUAAGAAACUCAUGAACACGGCAUUAAUGCGUUGGUAAAUUCCUCAGUCAGUCCGGAUAGUCAUUAUAAAUUCCGGUUCCUAGUGAUGGUGGCGGCUCUACCAGUGGAACGCACCUCAAGUCUCAAGUUUGAGUGUGGAAAAUAUCACUAUCAUUAGAUGAAAACAGAGGCAUCUUAUUAGCUUGCCGAUGCAGUGAAGAAAAAAAAUGAAAAUACUCUGUUUUUUUUGACAAACGGAUAGCUCUACUACUGAGCUACUCGAAAGCAAGAACCCUCCGGCCCUCCCUAAGAUGAGAUUCUUUUACCGGUGUUGUUCAUGAUUGUUUGCAAAGAGAUUCUAUGUGUUCUGAUAAUGAAUUCUUUAUUAAACAAAAGUUUUUAAGGAUUGAUAUCUCUAUUAAAAUGCAAUUACAAGAACGAAGAGUAAAACGGAGCAAACCAAGACACUGAGCGCAAUUUGUUAUUGCUAUUGUAUCUCUUGGCUCGCAGAAGUGGAUACAUAUUUGUGACAGCAAUGUGCUUUAUUACUGGCCAGUUGACAGGCAGAAUUCCGAGAACUGAGGCUUCUGCUUAUGAAGCAUAAUUUGCAAGAUAUGAUUUUCCUUCUAGUUUGCUUUGGAGACUCUGCCUUAAAUAAUCUUCGUAAGUGACCUUCUUGUAUAGUUUAUGUUGCUGUGAGUCAUCUAACAUCUGCUUCAGCGGCUCCACUUCUACUUCCAUUUGUGGAGUCACAAACGAUGCAUACGAGAUCCUUGCUCUUGUUCCAUUCGUUAUUGCUCUAUGUUCUAUGCUUUUGUACCUCCCGUUGCUCCAAAUCUAUAUCAUUUAUCACAGUAGAACAAAUUUACAUAAUGAAAAAUAAAGCUGAAAAAUGUAAAGAGUUUACAAAUUAAAUGAAAAGGUCAUGUUUUUUUUUUCUGGCCAACACUGCAGUAAAAUUCGGUUAGAAUUAUACCUCUAACACAUCUCCGACAUUGACAAUCAGUGAGUUCGGUACUGGUUUCACUGGGACCCAUCCUCCAUCAUGACGAAUCUGCAAUCCAUUGACGUCGUUAUCCUGCAGAAGAAUGGUUAUGGUGGUUGCAUCAGAGUGUGGACUCAUCCCCAUCACUUUCUCAGGCUCGCAGCAAACAGGAUAGUAAUUCACUCUCAUAGAUAUCUGCAUUUCCUUGUGUAGUUCAGGAAGCUCAUUACUUUCCAUCCCCAUGAUUAAGGAUAAAGAACCAAGGAGUUUUUUGCUAACAGUUCCCACUUCCGCAGAGUAUGCUUCAAUAGCCCCUCUGCAGAAACAACAUUUUAAUCGAAAGUUCUAUCAAUUAUUAUUUGAAAAUAAUGGUUUGAACAUACCUGAGUUCUGCUGGUUUGCCAGGCCAUAACUCAAGCUUCCUACCGCGCACUGGGAAUAGACGGAACAUUAGUGAAUCAGACCAGUCAACCGUCUGAUCUUCAGUGACAGGGUAAGGUCUACCAUAACCUUCUAUGGCGAGCGGAUCAAACGGGUAUCUCAUCUUAUCUUCAAGUGGAAGCUUGAAGAAUUCAGAUGCAGCUGUCUUCAUAUCCUCUAGCACUCCUUCGUCCAUUCCAUGAUUGAUCACCUAGACCAAAAACUAGAUUCAAAACAGGCAACUAAUAAAGAAACAAUUUUGGCAUCAGGGAACCGUAAACGACAUGUGUUACCAAAAAGAAGCCCCAGGACUUGCAGGCCUCAUCGAGUUUCUUGAGCUCUUCCUCCUGGCCUAGUGAAAGCAAUGCCAAGUCAAUGACGGGGACUUCUGCAGAAAGAAGUGGUAGUUCCAUAUCUUUCGAUGCAUCAUUUUCGGUCAGAAUGUAUCGUUUUGGAACAAAUGAAGGGUCCCUUUUCACGAUCUCUUCAACACAAUCAAUCUCUUCAACUAUUUGAUUAUCACUUGUAACCAUUUUUGCAGUAAAAGAGUUUUGAAAGUCUUCUUGUGCUACAGAACAUAAUUAUUGUGGAUGCUCGGUAGGUAAUUACUUAUGGGAGACGCUCGUGAUUGCUGACAACAUUUUUCCAUUUUUUUAUAACUGAAAGAUAAAAAUCGGAACUUGGGCACGGGGACGUAAUCUUGCAUUCAUGUUAAAAUUCAAAGUGUUAGUUGUGUUUGGUUGGGGAGAAUGCAAUGUAAUAGAAUGAGUAAAAAUACUUGAAAAACUAAUAGAGGAUUUGAGAAAAAAUUGAGGAUACGAGAGAAUGGAGCAUUAUAUCUCAAAUUGAAGGUGUGAUAUUUAACACAUGAUGUAAUGAAUGGAAUGUAGGAAGGAAUGAAAUUUCUUAACAAAUGUAUGGUUCAUUUUUCAUUUCAUUCCUUCCGGAAUCAUUCACCCCAAUCAAACACAACAUCUUCAAAGGUUGAAAACUGUUAGCUAAAAAUCUAUGUGACACAACAACUUCAAAGGUUGAAAACUGUUAGCUAAAAAUCUAUGUGUCAUCUCAUGUGUCAUUUAGGUGGACCUUUUAUAUAAUAUGUUAAAAAAGUUGCAUUCUAACCAUCAUCCUUUAGCAAAAAAAUUAUGGAUAAUUAAGUAUCAUUCAAUAGAUUUAUUGAAUCAAAAACUAUCAGGUAUAAUUUUAGUUUAUAAUGAUUAUACAUAACACCAUUGUAGUGUAUAUCUUUACUGUUAGCAAAAAAUUUGGAUAAGCAUUAUAGCUAAUAAAUUUAGAUAUUAUCGUUAGAGAUGUUCUUUUAAGUCUUUUAAAUAUAAAUAAGGAGUUUACUACCAGAAAAAACCCACUAAUCUUUUGUAUGAGCCGAUCAAAUUUAAUUUAUAAAUUUUAGUACUUGACAUGGGCGCAUGGACACAUCACGGAAUAAAAUUGAAUGCGUUAAAACAAACCGGAAUAGGUUACUGAGGAGUGAGGAGCAGGUAUGGAGAUUCUGAACCUGACCUCUGACUUGCACUCUUUGUUUAACAAUAUAUAUAUUGUCGUUUUCAUUGAUACAGGGUGGCGUAACAAUUAUCGAAGUCACGUAUCAUAUAACUAUGUACUAGCAUUUUAAUCCGCGCGAAGCAGACGGCUAUAUAGUUCAUAAUUUAUUAUUGAUAAAUUAAAUUUUAAUAUCAUUUUAUUAGUAUUUUACUAUUAGUGAAUUGAAUUUUAAUUAGAUUAUAUUAAUCAACUGAUUAUAUUUUCUCACGGAAAUUUAACUUUUUUAAUUUAUUAUCUAUUUAUAAAUAAUUUUCUGUUAUUAAUAUUUAAUAAUUUAUUAUUCAAUUAAUUUUCUUUUAAGACAAAUAAUGUCUUCCGUUUAAGAAGUUACAAACGCAAACAAAUUUUUUUUACUAUGCACCAGACCUCUUAAAAAAAGUAAUGUUUUGUAUUUAAUGUAAAAGAACUCUUCUUUUUUUUUUACUUUAUAUAUCUAUAGGUGAGCACUAUUUCAUAAUUAUUUAAUUAGGAAAUGCACAUUUUAAAGAAAAAAUAUUUUCCAAAUUAUAGAAAACGCUUAAAUAAAAAUUACCUUAUUGUUAUGUAAUUAUUUUAUUUAGGUGACCUUUGGCUUGUGGAUGACUUUGUCCUUUAACUUGCUCCCAUUAAUAGGAGACUCUUGACCCUCCAUUAUACUUGUAACAUAUAUCUCAUGGCCUAUAUAAAGGCAUUUUGUAUUGCUUCAAAUGACAUGAAAAUCCUCACCAUUCUCUUAGUCAUUUUAUUCUUCUAUUUGCUCUCUUUAUAGUAUAUAUUAUAUAACACGUUAUCAGCACGAUAGUGUAAAUAGGUAUUGGAAAUCCAAGAAGUAGAAAGAUUCUACGGAAAUCUUGUUAUUUCGCUUUGUCCAUCAAGUAAGUACACUUCUUGUAGCUUACUUUGCUUUGCUUGCAAUUGUAUGAUCUUUUUGUGCUUAUUAUGUGUUUGAGUCUUAUAAAUUUUGUAUUUAGUUCAUUGUUCAUCGGAAUUCAUUGAUCUUAUACUCGUUGCAAAGGUCUUUUGAUCCUUUACAAUUUUUCUUCUUCGCAUAUUUUUAAAAUAUGCUCAUAAGUAUGUCAAAAUCUGCAUUUUGUGUAAUCUGAUUAUAUGAUUCAAGUUGAUAUGCUGUCACUUCUAAAAUACAUAGUAAAUUGAAUAUUUUUCCAAAUAUUAUGAGCAAUACCAUUCUGGAAACCUCUUUUCGAUAUCUACUUUUUGUCUUUACACUCCAUUUCGAUAUUCUGUGAUUUCGAUGUCUUAAAUAUCAAAAUACUAUUAUAAUCAGAAGCUGAUUUUGCAUCUGCAGUCCACAAAUAUUUGUUUUCUGAAUUCGUUACUUGUUCGUUUUUAACGAGCCUUACCAUUCUGAAAAAAUCUCGGAAUAUUCUACGUUUUUCGUGUUUUAUACUUUUCCAGAUAAAAUCAUCUUCAUAGAGUAAAUUGACAUUCUUUGAAACUGAUCAGAUUUGAUUUUAUCAUAGAAUUAUGACUUAUCAUAGAGUAAAUUGCUAUUCUUUGGUUCAUGAUAUUGGAUUAAUAUGUUUUGAGGUUAUUUUUGAUACUAUUCUUAAUUUGAAAGAUUUAAGAUAUUUGAGCAUGUGAUUUUUGAGUAUGUGUUUUUAGUAGUUAACACAACUAGGAUGUUUGGUUAGUAUAGACCUAUUUGCGAUAUACAUAAUAAAUUUAUUAAAAUCUUACCUUGAUGUUUGCUCUCUAGAUAAUUUGUUUUAGUAUUUGAAAUAUCAAAUCUUACAAAACUCAAGUUUAAUGUACUUGAUGUCACCCGGAAAAAAAAAUAUUACUUGACAUGGAUUUUGGAUGCGGAAAUCCAUCCAAGUGCCAUGAGCCUUGGUGACACAAUAAAUGAGGAAAAUAAGGCCUCUGAGUAAGAUAAAGCAAAGACUAUGAUUUUUUUAAAAAAAGAUCCACACUCUUUGGAUGGAUUGAAAGAAAAAUAUGACAACACAAAAAAAAACGGAAGUGAUACUUCCCGAGGCUCGCUAUGAUUGGCAUCACUUGCGCUUGCAAGACUAUAAAAGUGAGAGCAAGUAUAACUUUGCAAUGUUUAAAAUUACAUCUCCACUAAAGUUGUGUGGCGAGAAUAUCAUUGACAAAGAUAUGUUGGAGAAAACAAACUCCACAUUCCCCGUCAAUCAUAUGCUCUUACAUCAACAAUAUCGUGAACGUGGAUUCACAAAAUAUUCUGAGCUUAUUUUAAGUAUUGCUCUUUCAUGAAAAAAAAAUCAUGAACCUGAUUGGUUCAACACCAUUUCCUGAAGUGAAUGUUGUGUCUAUUCAUGACUGUAAAAAAAAUAAGACCUUUUGACGUGGUCAUGGACAUGCCCGUGAUUGUGGUUUUGGGCAUGGUCGAGGUCAUGAUUACCACAGUUUCUCCAUUUUUUAAUAAAUUAAAAAAAAUGCUCACCUCUAGAAUUGGAGGGAAAAUGAGGAGAAACCAAAGAAAAAUGUGAUGCCUUAAAGGAUCACAUUAGAAUUAGUGAUUUCUUUGAAGAUGAGAAUGUGAAGAUGACCAAAUUUGAUGGUGGCGAUAAUUAAAUCGAAUAUUUAAAAGCCUUGCUUUGCUUAUUGAAUAUAAAAAUAUUUAUGUUCGAACUUUGAAAUGAUUGCUUGAGUAUAUAUUAUGAAAUCUCUUUCUGUUUAAAUUAUUUCAAAUAUUAUAUUUUUUAAAAUAUUUAUAUAUUUUUUCUUUUGAAGAAAUAUGGCCGGUAGCUUUUCAUUAUGUGACAUGAAAGAUGAAGAAUCAUUUUGUUUGGCGGAUAGUGCAACAACACUUACAAUUUUGAAAAAUAAAGCAUAUUUUUCGCAUCUAACAAUAGCCAAAGCUAAUGUCAAUAUAAUAUCGGGUGCAUCAGAUUUAAUUGAAGGCUCCGGAGCAAGUAUAAUGCUACCUAAUGGUGCAUGUUUAUUGAUUGAAAAUGCAAUGUUUUCCCCCCGAUCAAAAAGAAAUCUUUUGAGUUUUAAAGAUAUACGCCACAAUGGCUAUCAUAUUGAGACGACAAAUGAUCGUGAUAAUGAAUAUUUAUAUAUCACAACUAUAGUCUCAGGGAGAAAACAUGUGAUAGAAUAACUCCCAUCAUAUAAUUCUGGAUUAUAUUAUACUUUCAUAAAUCCAGUUGAGUCACAUAUGACUAUUAAUAAAAGUUCCGUUGACCCGGGAAAUUUUAUUAUAUGGCAUGAUCGUUUAGGCCAUCCGGGUUCAACAAUGAUGCGAAGAAUGAUUGAAAAUUCAAAUGGACAUCCGCUCAAGAAUAAAAUUGUUCCAUUGUCCAAAAAUUUUUCAUGUGUUGCUUGUAUUCAAGGAAAAUUGAUAACAAAACCAUCUCCUAUGAAAGUUGUCAUUGAAUGGCCAAAAUUUUUGGAGCGAAUUCAAGGAGAUAUAUGUGGACCAAUUACCCCAUCUAGUGGGCCAUUUCAGUACUUUAUGGUACUCAUUGAUGCAUCAACAAGAUGGUCACACGUUAGUUUAUUGUCCACUCCUAAUGUUGCUUUUGCACGACUCCUUGCUCAAAUAAUUCGAUUACGAGCACAAUUUCCUGAUUAUAAUAUAAAUAGUAUUAUUGAAACUUGCUUGAACAUGAAUAACCCCCUUUGGUAUUCUCCGUGUAUUCUUACGUGAACCAAUACGUCCGUGCAUAUAAACGGUUUUAAUAUAAAUAUUAAUAUAUAAUUUUAAGUAAAAAAAAUAUUAUUAUAUAGUGAAAAGUUUUAUGGAGACUGAUUUUUGUGUACGCAUUAGAGACUUAAUCACAGCCAUUAGAGACUUAAUCACAGCCAUUCAAAUCUUACUCAUCGCAGAUAUUUGUCCUGCACGUUCGUUUUCUCUCCCUAUCUUGUCCUGCACUUCUAAAUCGGUGAACAACAAGCAGAACUUCUAAAUCUUACAUAACAUAAAAUAAUAAUUCCAUAAUAUGGUGUUCAAUCACCGAAAUCCUAACAAAUAAAAAUAAUAAUUGCAUACAAACAAAGAUGUAGCUGAACAUUGUUAUGAUUGACACUGAACUCAUUGUCAUUGUCCUGCAACGAACUCAAUUUGUUGCAAGACAACAUAACACUUAGAUAUAUCACAAAUAUGCGGGACAAAUAAUUAAUAUUACAUUACUAGAAAUACAAGACAAGAAUAGUGUAAAUUAUAAAGAUAGUUUUGAAUUAAAACUAAAACAAGAGAUGCAGGACAAGAAUAGUAAUAAUACAUUACUAGAAAUGUAGGACAAGAAUAAUGUAAAUUAUUAAUAUUACAUUACCAAAAAUGCAGAAAAAAAUAUAUUUAAUCAUGUCCAUUAAUUGUCAGAUUAUUUUAACGGUGGAUCUUGUAGUCUCUAAGGACUUUAAAGUUUCUGGUCUCCAUUGAGUCCAACUCAGUAUAUAAUUAUAUAAUAUUAAAACAAAUUAUAUACCAUUAUUGAAAUAAAUGAUAUAUUUAUGUUAUUAUUUUUCUUGAUGAUCUAUUCCUAUUUAUGAAAUUAAUACUUUUAUUAAUUUGAAAUAUAGAAACAAUAUAUUAAAAUUAAAUAUUAACAAAUGAUUAUAAUCAUUUUUUAAUGAAACACAUACCAUUAUAUUACAAUCGUAGGCAACAUGAUAUUCUGUAUAAAUUAAAAAUAAAUUAGUUUAAUUUUAUCCAUGAGUAUAAACUCGGGCCAAUUCUAAUUACCCUUUUACUAUUAGAAUCUUAUUUAAUGAAAAUAAAAAUUUUAUUUUAUACACCAAUAAGAAUGUAUUAACCGUUUAUUAAUUGUUUUAAAAAAAUAUUUUACUUAAAACAUAUAUUAUUCUAGCAUAAAUUUAUCUUCACAAUAAAAUUAAAUAUCAAAAUAUAUCCGUAAAAUAGCGAAAGUUAUAAGUGACAUAUACAUGGCACAAGUAAUAAAUUUAUAUUUAAUAAAUUAUAGAAAAUGAUAUAUUUACUAAUAAUAAUUUAAAUGUGUAUAAAUAAGGUAUUUAUCUACUUGAUAUAGAUAAUAUAUCCAUAAAUUAUAAUACUCAUAUUAUUUUGUUAUUAUAAAAUCUAUUUUGGGUAAAUAUUUGAUAUUAAAUUUUAAAGAGGUAAUAAGGGUGUAAAGAGGAGAUAUAUAUGCAUAACAUUUUUUUUGACAGAAUAUGCAUAACAUUUGAUAUACAUGUAUAACACAACUUUUUUAGAGACUUUUUAUGAAACACCUAAUACACAUUAUUCGAACACAAAUAUAUAACACGAUAUCAAGUGCGAAAACAUACUUUAAAAAACGCAACUGCUUGAUAAACUGAUAUGUUUACGGGUGUACAGGGGUUGGACAACCCGCCGAAACCGAUACAAAGUGACCAUGUUUUCACCAAUCCAAACCGAUUUUUUCCAACCCGGCAUACUCGGAUUGAAAAUACAUUAUUAAUGGUUUGGAUAUUGGUUUUGAUUUUUCAAACGACCCAAUCCAACCCGAUCCGAUUAAAAUUAAAAUAGUUAAAAAUUUAAAUUUUGUCCAAUCUAAUACAUGAGUAUCAUCCCAUCAAUUUAGCUAGUUUUACAUAUCAUGUUGAUUUAUAUGAUCAUUAUAUGAGGGUAUCAUUCCUGAUGCUCAUAUUAACAUCUGAUUAAUGUGUAGUUUUAGUAUGAUAUUUAUAUCAUAUUAUACUAAUAUUUUUUAUAUAACAAAUCAUGCUAUAUGUUUGAUACAAACAUUUCUGUGUGAUAUUAACAACUCCUUUAUCAAAUACUAAAAUACUGAAAUAAUAAUUAUUUGUUAUAUGAUAGCUUCUUUUCUUAACGUUAUAGUUGACAACUUUUGAAUUAUCAAUUUAUUUUUUAACUUUUUUUAUUUUUUGGUAUCCUAAACCGAUCAAUCCGAGUUAAACCGAUCCAAACCGGAAUACAUUUUGCGGGUUAGGUUUUGAAUUGAUUUUUUAUGGGUUGGGUUGAAAAUCUACAAACCCAAUUUAAUUGGGUUGGGAUACUAAACUCUCCCAACCCGCCCAACCCGACCCGAUCCGUGUACACCCUUCUAUACAUUAAAACAUAAAUCAGCUAGACUAACGAAUAAUUCAUCUAAAUCAAUCUACAAAUUAUAUAUUUAGCAAGAUUAAUGAAAUAAAUUCAAAUGGAUCAAGUUCGAACCUGUAUACUUAGAUUGAUUGAGGUAUGAGAAUCUUUGCAAAUGGUAAAAAAAAAUCAUUGAAAUGCGUGGAUCCGUUAUUAAGCUUGUUGAAAUCGGCGAAGUCGAAGAUGAGACUGAACAACGAGAGUUCGAGAGGACAAAUGAAGAGCGUGUUUUUCUGCCCGAGAGAAUGGAAUGAGCUUAAUGAAUGGACCAUUUCAUUCCUUUGGCUCAACCAAGCAACAAUUUUUUUUGUUGGGCCGAAUGGAACAUUUCAUUUUGUCCAAAAUUCAGUUCGUUCAUACCAACCAAAGAACAUAAGUAAUUUAAAUCUUUUAUUACAAUUGCACAUUUGCGUACAACCGCUAACUGUCACAAUAAAAUAAAAACCUUUUAAAUACACACUAUAUACCCUGACAUACAUGUAACGUUCAGCGGAAAAUAAAACGUUGGAAACUUAUCAUGAACUUUUGAUAUAUACGCAGGCCUGCUCCAAUAUCUUCCGGCAGCAAGUUACUCCAUCCUAAGGUUUUUCACGUUUAACACUUUUUUCGCUCUAUAUAUGCUAGUAUCAUUCGUAUUUUUCGGACAGGCUAACUAUAUAUAUAAUUUUCACCUUGACCGCAACAAUUUAUGAAGAGUUUAUAAGAUAGCUUUCGCACAUGCGCGUCUAAAUUACUAAAAAAAUAAAUAAAAAAGCCAAAAAAAUAUAAUAUAAUGGUACUAUCAAGUCCAAACUACAGAAAGAAUACUGCUAUCUGAAUCUCCUGGAAGUCCACACUCCACAGUCAGAUGUGCCCUUCGACAAAUCUGAUUAUAAAGAAAGAAAAGUGCCAAGCAACUCUUUCUCAGGAAACUGAGCAAAACACACGCCUAACAUCGACUCGGUAUCAUUGUAAUGGGUUAUUGGUAUCCUUCUAACUUCACAUUCCUCUGCAAUUGAUUCUCUUGCGGAUAAGAAUGUACAUUUAGUAAAUUUUAAAGUCUUUAAGUCCGUUCUGACAAAAAAAAAGUGUUUAAGUUCGUCCAGUAUAAUCAGUAAAUCUGUUAUUCGGAUUGAAUGUAUCAUCUAUAAUGUGAAGCAGAAUCAUAAAUAAAUAUUUGAUUAACAAGGUAAUAAUUCUGAUUUGAUAACCAUGGAUGACCAGUUUACUGCAGAACUGAAACCAAAGUUGAAUCAUCCUUGAUCAUCAAAUAAAAAGAUAUCAAUGUCAUCUCUCGGAAAAUAGAGAAGACCAUAUAAUUACACAAUACAUAUUCUUGUGCAGCGAUCCCACACAAAUUUCUUAGACAUCAACAGAGAUUAUUUUCAGAAGCUCAGUACAGGAUUUCGAAACUAGGCCUAUUUAUCAACUUGGUUAAUCUUGCCAAGACCGUUGCAAUUAGCACAUACAAUCUGAACUUGAUCCUUCCGGGCAGCAUUAGCCCUUAAUGCAGCCCCUCCUUUCCGCACAAAACCAGCACCAUCACAUUCAGGGCACCUGCAAACGAACACAAAACAUGACUCUUAAUGCUAAGAAAAGACAUAAAUUAAGCAGCAGAAUAUUAAUCAGAUGAAAAGAAAAUUCAAGUUACAGGUCUUUGCGCGAGAACAAGAUGGGAAAAGCGGUUCCCAGCAAUGCCACGGCAGCAGCACCAGCGAUGAGAUAGACAGUUCCAUCAGCUGACACGUCUCCAACCGCUGCCACAACCGUCAACGAUCUAUUCUUCUUGUUCUCAAUUCUGUUCCGAGAUAAAGAGACAUUCGAGCCCAAAAAUGUUGAUCGAGUACCUGAACAUCCACACUGCUUUGCUGAAUGUGUUGAAAAGAAAGCCUGUAGAGGAGAUAUUGAUGCCAUUUUUGUUGCUGGAAAAUAUUUCACACCAUCUGAAAACUAGUUGCAGAUCGUUUUAUGAGUAACAUGUGUGCAUAUUUUGUCCACAAAUUCGUGUUACUAGAUAAGGCUACAUCAAUAUCACGACACUGAGGAUUAUAGGAUAAGGAUGGUCCCAUGCAUCAACUCAAAUGACAAGACCAAAGGCCCUUCUGCCAUACAUAUUCAAGCUUAACCACAAUAUCCACAAUUUUUUCUUAAACCAAGAAAAUUAUGUAAAAAGUAAAAAAAGAAAGAAAAAUUAACGAAGAAUAUAGGGUUGGUUAUUCAGAUUGAAGAUUGGAUAAAUUUUAGAUUAUUCAACUUUUUGUGCAUAAAUUUUGAACAAGUCCUCCCAUUACGUGUUAAUUUAUCGAUGCAUGAAUAAUGAGAAUUUAAUUUAUUAAUGUGCCAUAUGUCUGAAAUGUACAAACUGCAGAUGGAGGCAUAUUCUGAUGGUGAAGGUAGUACAAGCUUAUGAUUUUACAGAAGUGAAGCUUGUUUAUAUGCAGAAUUGCAGCCCCAAAGCAAACUAACAAACUUCUGGUAAUACAUAGACUGUAAUAGUACUAAACCAAAAUUUCUCAAAAUAAAAACAAUCUUCUUAUAUCAAUAUCCGAUUAUAAACUUCAGUUAUCAGCUACAUUUGGAUAAAACUUAGCUAUUAAAUCACAGAACUUAAGCAUCAACUAUAACCCUUCUACGACUGUUUCCUCUCGACAAGUCCUCACUGAAACCAACUUCCAUAUUCAAUCGCGAUGACGAAGAGCUCCUAAACCUGCCAAAAAAUGACAGAACACUGCGAAAUGCAUGCCUAAUUCCACCCCUCCUCAUUCCACUUCUUGACCAACUUCUGCUUGUUGAACUGCUGCCAUCAACAUCAUCCUCAUCAUCCAUUUCAUCAUCCGCCCCAGGCGCCUCACCCUCACUUAGUCCCCUGCCACCAUUAAACCGUCCAAUGGCAUAUCCGCCACGUGGCAAUCUCCAAAUGAUAAGUCCCAUCGGUUCUUCAUCAUUGUCAGCUUCCAAUUCAUCCAUUUCUGCCACGUCAGGCGCCAAUUCAUAACGACAAACUGGACAGGAAUUCCUUAUUUCAAGCCAAGGUAAAAUACAAUCCGAAUGAUACAAAUGCUUGCAAGGCAAUUCACGAGCCAAUGCAUUGGCCUCAAAGGCCUCUGUACAAACAGCACAAUGCGCAUCACUAAUAAUGUGGCCUAAAUUAAUUUUAACAGCAGGCAAUGCAUCCCCCGCAGCCUUAGCAGCCGGAGGCUGAGUAACUGUCAUCGUAUCAGAACGUAUAAAAUGUUCAAGAACCCGAUCAAAUCCCCGCCCCAUCACCAACUCUGACAUGCCUGGCAGCAACGGCCUUAGCCCCUGACCCGAACAAUCAUCG